rnacentral:rRNA from 1 species
UACGAAGGUCCCGAGCGUUGUUCGGAAUCACUGGGCGUAAAGGGAGCGUAGGCGGCGUGGUAAGUCAGAUGUGAAAUCCCGGGGCUCAACCCCGGAACUGCAUCCGAUACUGCCGUGCUAGAGGAUUGGAGAGGUAGCUGGAAUUCUUGGUGUAGCAGUGAAAUGCGUGGAGAUCGAAGAGGAACACUCGUGGCGAAAGCGAGCUACUGGACAAUAUCUGACGCUGAGGCUCGAAGGCCAGGGUAGCGGAAAGGG